AUAAGAUCUGACACUUAACCACAAUUUUAUAUUGCGUACUUUAUUUAAUCGAAAAUGUGGUAAAUCAGAUUUUCUGGCACGUCUUGACGAUGUUAAAUGUGAAAAUAAUUUUGCAUAUAAAAGUCUUUGUUUAUAAAUAUUUUUCCAACAAUACUAUAUUUUAUUACAUCACAAUUAGAAAUAAGCAUUAUGGAGGGUGGUAAUUCAAAUUCCCAAGAAAAAGGAUGUUCAACAAAUUCCCCAUAAUUUUUGUUGGUUUCAUUAUGGAGAUCAGAUUCUUCAAGUUCUGAACUGUAAAAGGAUUUAAAUUUAAAAAGCCAAUUUAGUAUAAAAAUAUAAAUGAAAAAUUAACAAUAUGAAAAAUAAACUAUGGAAGUUAAAAAAAAGAUUAGGAUAUUUACCAUCUUGUUAGAAGUUUCUGCUUCGCUAUUUGAGGAAUUUUCCUGUGACUUUAAUAAUUCAGGUGCUGCAUGGAAAGUGGAAGACAAUCAAUUUAGCUAAUAAGGAUAUUAGAUGAAUUGCUAAAGAGAUUUAAUAAAUAAAUAUAUGUCUAAAAUAUGAAAAUACAUUAUUUUAAACAGAUACUAACACUUUGUAUCAUGUAUUGCAUAAUGUUACUAUAUGAAAUGUUUAAAUAAAAUUUGACAAAA